AUACGGAGGAUCCGAGCGUUAUCCGGAUUUAUUGGGUUUAAAGGGUGCGCAGGCGGCCAUUUAAGUCAGCGGUUAAAUCGUGGGGCUCAACCCCAUUCUGCCGUUGAUACUGGGUGGCUUGAUUGCGGUCGAGGUUGGCGGAAUUCGUUGUGUAGCGGUGAAAUGCAUAGAUAUGACGAAGAACACCGAUUGCGUAGGCAGCUGACCAGACCGCAAAUGACGCUCAUGCACGAAAGUGCGGGGAUCGAACAGGAUUAGAUACCCUGGUAGUCCGCACAGUAAACGAUGAAUACUUGUUUUCGGCGAUAUAAUGUCGGAGGCAAAGCGAAAGCGAUAAGUAUUCCACCUGGGGAGUACGCCGGCAACGGUGAAACUCAGAUGAAUUGACGGGG
rnacentral:rRNA from 1 species